AUUGAACGCUGGCGGCAUGCCUUACACAUGCAAGUCGAACGGCAGCACGGGUGCUUGCACCUGGUGGCGAGUGGCGAACGGGUGAGUAAUACAUCGGAACAUGUCCUGUAGUGGGGGAUAGCCCGGCGAAAGCCGGAUUAAUACCGCAUACGAUCUACGGAUGAAAGCGGGGGCCCUUCGGGCCUCGCGCUAUAGGGUUGGCCGAUGGCUGAUUAGCUAGUUGGUGGGGUAAAGGCCUACCAAGGCGACGAUCAGCAGCUGGUCUGAGAGGACGACCAGCCACACUGGGACUGAGACACGGCCCAGACUCCUACGGGAGGCAGCAGUGGGGAAUUUUGGACAAUGGGCGAAAGCCUGAUCCAGCAAUGCCGCGUGUGUGAAGAAGGCCUUCGGGUUGUAAAGCACUUUUGUCCGGAAAGAAAUCCUUGGCCCUAAUACGGUCGGGGGAUGACGGUACCGGAAGAAUAAGCACCGGCUAACUACGUG
rnacentral:rRNA from 1 species